rnacentral:lncRNA from 1 species
GCCCUGAGUCAGCAUCAGUUGGAGCUUUAGUUGAUCUGAAACACGGUGCUCAAUGGAGUUUUGGAAAAUUAAUCAGCUUCCCUUUGUGAAUGCUUGCAUUUCCACACUUUCAUUUUAUGAACUUUCACACCCGUCUGUGGGGUUUUGAGGUUUGCUUCAUUCAGACCCAUAUUGGAAAGGCCCGAAUUCCUGUCACAGCCAGGAUUUUCUCCAGCUCCAGGGAUUUGUUUGGUUUUGUGCCAUUUUAUCUCAAGUUUUAUUCCUUCCAUCUGAUUCAAAUAUUUUGUUACCGACUCAUAGUUCUUCUUAAGAAAAAGAAAAAAAAGAUAGAAAAGAAGAAGCAAAACAGCACCUCUUUUAAAACAGGAAAUCGCUCUGGUUUGAAUUUCCUGUCGGAAUUUGGGCAGGUUGGUUGGCAACUGGUGAUCUGGACACAUGUCAGAUUUCAGGGUCUGUGUGGUAUAGCUGUGGUUGUACGUGAAAGAGAAAACUUAAAAUAUCCUGUUUCACAGAAGAACAUGGCGUAUCACCUUCCAGACAAGAAUCCAGUGACUGCCUGGACUCCCAGCUGCAUUCCUGAACUUGUCUAAGGGUGUCGUAAACACGUUGAUGGGAUCCAAAGAUGCACAAAGAGAAGCUACAACGUUAUGAAAAAUUGUUGACAUCUUGGUUGCUCCAUACAACAUCAUACCAUGCUUUGUGAGAAAACAAUUAUUUUGACAAUGUUAGAGACUGGUCUAACCACCAAACCCACCAACUCCUUCCCUCUAUGCCUUCUAAAAUUGCUCCAACAAAGUGAAAAAAAAUACCCAACUAACACAAUAUUCCAGGAUGGUGGAAAAUCAAAUACUAAAGGGUAGAGGGGAUGCUAUAAAGUACAUAUGUGAGCUUUCAGUUUGAUCGAGCUUAUAACACAUGCUGUGUGUAUAAAUUCACGAUUUGAACCUAUAAACCGGAGAUCUGGCAUUCUGAGUUGGUUCUGGGAAAUUGCAUAGACUUAUGUGAGCCAAUGCCUGCUACCAAGUAUUUUUUUUUCUUAACUCUUUAAUUUGAGGGUUUUUACUUGAUUUUGAGGAUUAUCUUAAACUUCCUUGGAUAAUUCUAUUAUCAUUCCUCCAUUUCUUUUCGCAAUGCUUUUCAAGGAAAGUUUAAGUUAUAUCAACUAGAAACAUGUUGCUUCGGUUUGAUCUGUGCUUGGUAUUUCUCUUUAGACAGAUGUGGCAAAGUUUUGGUGCUUAUAAAUAUUUUCCUUUUAGGGGAAGGGAUUGGAUUUAUGGUGCAGAAUUCCAUCAAUCUAUAUUAGGACAAAGUAUCUGGGAGAUGCUAUGUAGUGUACCUGUUCACUGGAAGAAUUUCUUUAUGUUUAUGUGCCCAAUUAGAUGUAAUUUGUAAUAAAAUGGGCUUCUUCCAGAAAUCA